rnacentral:rRNA from 1 species
AAAUGAAUUGACGGGGGCCCGCACAAGCGGUGGAGUAUGUGGUUUAAUUCGAUGCAACGCGAAGAACCUUACCAGGGCUUGACAUCCCCCUGACCGGUGUAGAGAUACAUCUUCUGUCUUCGGACAGCAGGGGAGACAGGUGGUGCAUGGCUGUCGUCAGCUCGUGUCGUGAGAUGUUGGGUUAAGUCCCGCAACGAGCGCAACCCUUGUCUUUAGUUGCCAGCAUUAAGUUGGGCACUCUAGAGAGACUGCCGGUGACAAAUCGGAGGAAGGUGAGGUUGACGUCAAGUCAUCAUGCCCCUUAUGUCCUGGGCUACACACGUACUACAAUGGCUGGUACAGAGGGCAGCGAAAGGGUGACCUGGAGCGAAUCUCAUAAAGCCAGUCUCAGUUCGGAUUGCAGUCUGCAACUCGACUGCAUGAAGUCGGAAUCGCUAGUAAUCUCUGGUCAGCAUACAGAGGUGAAUACGUUCCCGGGCCUUGUACACACCGCCCGU